GCAGCCGCGGUAAUACGUAGGUGGCAAGCGUUAUCCGGAAUUACUGGGUGUAAAGGGUGUGUAGGCGGGACUGCAAGUCAGAUGUGAAAAUUAUGGGCUCAACCCAUAACCUGCGUCUGAAACUGUAGUUCUUGAGAGUGGGAGAGGUAGAUGGAAUUCCUGGUGUAGCGGUGAAAUGCGUAGAUAUCAGGAGGAACACCGGUGGCGAAGGCGAUCUACUGGACCACAACUGACGCUGAGACACGAAAGCGUGGGGAGCAAACAGGAUUAGAUACCCC
rnacentral:rRNA from 1 species